CCACGUGUUUGUAUACUUGCAAAGUUGCAAUAGCACUGUUGCUUCUGAUUCCUGUUCAAAAUUCAGCUGUCUUUUUGUGUGAAAUUGAUGGCUUCAUUGGCAUUUUCGUCAGUUUAUUCGGCCCCUAUACAGACUCUGAAAUGCACUUCAAACUCUGAACCAACUUUGGAUCAUCAAAAUCAGCUUUUUUCCGACAUGGGUUUUCUCUUCCAUCUCUUAAUCUUUCAGGGUUUCUGUUAAAGUCUUCAUCUUUCAGCACAAUCAGUGCUAGAGCUGCCACAGAGAACAGCAUUUAUGAUAUCAGAGUGACGAAAAUGCAUACUAACUAAAGAGGAAAAACGGGUCAAAAGGAUGCAAUAUUUAUUCAGGCUAAUUCGUGAGAGUGAUAAUGGUGAUGUCUUGUUCCUAAUGAUGUGUUGGUUGAUUUUUGCUUUAAUCGUCAGUGUCUUUUGGAAUUGUAUCAUGUUUUUCAUGUGGUAAAUAUUGUACAUUAUAUGAUGGUGUUUGGAAUAUUCUCUCUUUGACAAUCGACAUGUGGUAUUCGAAUGCAGUAUUUGUAAAUGGCGCUUUAAAUCUUGAUGUGUUCUUGUGUUAAA